rnacentral:lncRNA from 7 species
ACUUCAUUUGUGCUCAUUUCAUGAGGCAUAGCAUAUCUUGUAAUGCAGUAUAUAUUCUUCUACCCUGACUUGUUUUGCAGCGUAGUUGUGUACCCACCACCUUGCUUCCUCUCAGGUUCUGAUCCACUUCCUCAUCUUCUAUGUCCUUCAAAUAUUGGCAGAAUGUCAACCCAUCCUCUCUUUACACUUUACUGCCUUAUCUGAGCAUGCAAAAGACAGUGAACUUUGCAGUCAUAGUAAUGCCUGUAUUUAUACCUUCUUUCUGGAGAACUGAAAAACAGAAGGAGUUUCUUUGCUUCAAAUUCCAUUCAACCUGUCUUUUAAACCACACUGUACACCACGUUGGAAACCCAGCUUGGGGAAAGUAAAAUUCCAUUAUCAUUUCUACUUAGCUCUUUCUUCACAGGCUAGUAGGCCCAAGCUUUCAGUAAUUUUGUUGCGUAUCACUGAGCUGCCAGCAACUUAAUGACAUGUAUUUUGUAAUGAAUGCUUACAAAUAAAUAUCGUAUUUCAGAAGUUAUUGCAUCAGAAUCCAGCUUGCAAAGUCAAAAAUUGCAUUUGAUUUUUCACUGACUUAUACUGUACAGUUGUAUCCACUGGUCAGGUCUGUACCUGAAUGUUAUGGUGCUACAAUUUGGAUGAUGAUUAUGCUAUUUAAAAUAGUGUGCACCUUUAAGUGAAGAUGUAAGUAUGGGUGUACUUCAGAUGGAGAUUGCUUAAAUCUGUUCCUGUGUUGAAUAUCUAUACCAUUAUGCAGCACACUGGUACUUGUAGGAUCAUGAACACUCAAGGAGCAUAGUACAGCUUUAAAUAUAUAUCAUACAGUUAGAGUGGGAGAACUUGCACUUUAAGACAAGCCUCUUUGGUUUCUCUAAUCACUCAGACUUUUUCAACCCUAAAAACUUCCAAGUUUUCCCUUCUACUUAAAUAUUUGAACUGCGGAUCAUUUUUUUCUGAGGUAUAUUAGCUUUCAUUUUUCCCAUGUUAAAUCUCAUGGGCAGUUAGCCAGCUUCUUUAUUACUCCUCCUAUAAUCUUUUAACCCUCCCUUCAUUUUCUGCUUUCUGAACCCUUUAUGCUGGAAUCAAAGUGAAUUCUGGAACAUAUGAGCACACAGCCACAUCCAUUUAAAAUUCCUAAAUGCACCCUUUUCCUUGAAGAAUGGAAUGGAUUUGUAUUCUUUGUAGCUUUGCACUGAUGUAAUGUCACUGGUUUCUAAAACACUGCUUAAUGUGAGAGAAGAGUCAGGCAGCAUGGUCCUGUUUUGAAGCCUACAGUUGAAAAGACCCUUAUUGACUUCGGUAGGCUUGCGAUUCAGACAUAAAUCUGUGAAGCCAAAUGAUAGGGUCAAUGGUUUAGUACUCUAUAAAUUUCAUUUAAUAAAUGAAUGCAAAAUUUGAUCCAAAAUGUCCCCAUAAAUUUAUACUCUCUUUUCACAUCCUUUAAAUCAAUAUGGAGCCAACACAAGGAAUGUAUCAGUGUCAACCUUCCAAUAGCUCUGCCACUGUUGUCUUUUGUUUUAUAUGCUUUUUCUUUUAAAGAUAGGAAAACAAAUACCUCUACAUUGUUCAUUUUUAAUAACUAUAUAAAUCCAAAUUCAGAGUGACUUCCGGGGUUUUAUUUCAAUUAUAUCUUAAAAAAAAUAUUGUACAAAUUCAAAAUCACUCUCUGAGAAAAAAAUCAAUCUGUACAAAAUUUUAACCCCUUGUAAUGUGUCUUAAUGAAGUAACUGUUAAAAACCCGGAAAAAAAAGUCUGUAACAGCAGCAAUGACAAUGACGCUACUGCAUCACACAGAGCCUGCAGAGGGCAUUUAGGCCUUCUUCAGAAAGAUAUGGGAAGAUGUUGAUGUAUCUCAUAAAGCUGACAGGUCAUCGCUACCCAUUGUCUCGCAGAAUAGAUUAAUAGAUUCAUUGGUUCUUACUAGACAAAAAUGUUCACAGCAGAUAGAAUUUAUCCUGAAAAGUUGCUGCAUUCUGCUUGCUGGUACAAAAUGCUCUUCAGCUUUCCAUCUUUCAAUUGUUGGCAGGUACUCAAAUAAGAAACACAGAGAGCCAGUUUACAGUUAUGGGUCUCUGUCCUCACUCAUAAUUAUAGUUCUUAGAUAGAUUUUUAAAAGCAUUUUGUCCAGAAUAGAACAUUACAUAGACCCCAGGGGCACAAUUAAUCAUUCUCCAGAUAUGUCAAUGGUGUGAUACAAGAGUUGCAACUUAAUGCUUUUUAC